rnacentral:rRNA from 1 species
UACGUAGGGUGCGAGCGUUGUCCGGAAUUACUGGGCGUAAAGAGCUCGUAGGUGGUUUGUCGCGUUGUUCGUGAAAACUCACAGCUUAACUGUGGGCGUGCGGGCGAUACGGGCAGACUGGAGUACUGCAGGGGAGACUGGAAUUCCUGGUGUAGCGGUGGAAUGCGCAGAUAUCAGGAGGGAACACCGGUGGCGAAGGCGGGGUCUCUGGGCAGUAACUGACGCUGAGGAGCGAAAGCGUGGGGGAGCGAACAGG